rnacentral:rRNA from 1 species
CAGCCGCCGCGGUAAUUCGUAGGGUGCAAGCGUUAAUCGGAAUUACUGGGCGUAAAGCGUGCGCAGGCGGUUUGUUAAGACAGAUGUGAAAUCCCCGGGCUCAACCUGGGAACUGCAUUUGUGACUGGCAAGCUAGAGUGUGGCAGAGGGGGGUGGAAUUCCGCGUGUAGCAGUGAAAUGCGUAGAUAUGCGGAGGAACACCGAUGGCGAAGGCAGCCCCCUGGGCCAACACUGACGCUCAUGCACGAAAGCGUGGGGAGCAAACAGGAUUAGAUACCCCUGUAGUCCCUGUCUCUUAUAC